UACGCCGCCGCCUUCAGCGCCGCGAAUCCUCGCUCAAGAUCGGCCUUCAGGUCGUCAAGAUUUUCCAGACCGAUGUGGAAACGCAGCGUCGGCCCGCCCGGAUUCCAUGUUGUAGCCGUGCGAUAGGACGCGCAGUCGAACGGAAUCACGAGGCUCUCGAAGCCGCCCCACGAAUAGCCCAUGCCGAACAGCGUGACCGUG
rnacentral:misc_RNA from 1 species